GACAAAAGGAUAGCAGCUUUUGCUGAAGAUAAGUUCCGAAGAGAUGAUAUUGAUGUGAAAACAUGAUCCAUGGUUGUGAAGGUAUCUGACAGAGAAGUUUCCACUAAAGAAAUGAAAACUGGAGAAAUGACUUCCAUUCCAUAUGGAAUGGUUGUCUGCUCAACUGGUAUUGGCACUCACCCAUUCAUAAAAGAUUUUAUGACAUAAAUUGGUCAGAUUAAUAGACGUGCCAUAGAUAUUGAUGAAUGGUUGAGAGUUGAGGGAACCAACAAUGUGUAUGCGCUUGGUGAUUGUGGUACAAUAAACCAGCGAAAAGUCAUGAAUUUCAGGAAGAUAUUGUAGCAAUAUUUAAGAAGUCUGAUGCAUACAACUCAGGAACAAUUACGCUCAAAUAAUUUCAGGCGGUAAUGGAUGACAUCUUUGUAAGAUACCCUCAGGUGGAGCUAUUCCUAAAGAAUAAACAAAUGUGUGGCAUUGAUGACCUUUUGGAAGAAUGCAAAGGAGAUGUUGAAAAAUAAUCUAUUGAAAUUACUUUCGAAGAACUCAAACUGAAAUUUUCAAUGUGAACUCGCAGAUGAAAUUUCUUCCUGCUAUAACU